rnacentral:rRNA from 1 species
GAUGAACGCUGGCGGCGUGCCUAAUACAUGCAAGUCGAGCGAACGGACGAGAAGCUUGCUUUUCUGAUGUUAGCGGCGGACGGGUGAGUAACACGUGGAUAACCUACCUAUAAGACUGGGAUAACUUCGGGAAACCGGAGCUAAUACCGGAUAAUAUUUUGAACCGCAUGGUUCAAAAGUGAAAGACGGUCUUGCUGUCACUUAUAGAUGGAUCCGCGCUGCAUUAGCUAGUUGGUAAGGUAACGGCUUAUCAAGGCAACGAUGCAUAGCCGACCUGAGAGGGUGAUCGGCCACACUGGAACUGGGACACGGUCCAGACUCCUACGGGAGGCAGCAGUAGGGAAUCUUCCGCAAUGGGCGAAAGCCUGACGGAGCAACGCCGCGUGAGUGAUGAAGGUCUUCGGAUCGUAAAACUCUGUUAUUAGGGAAGAACAUAUGUGUAAGUAACUGUGCACAUCUUGACGGUACCUAAUCAGAAAGCCACGGCUAACUACGUG